UCUCCGUUGGUGAACCAGCGGAGGGAUCAUUACCGAGUUUACAACUCCCAAACCCCCAUGUGAACGUUACCAAACCGUUGCCUCGGCGGGCGCCCCGGGCGCGUCGCAGCCCCGGGCCAAGGCGCCCGCCGGAGGACCAACCGAAACCCUCUUGCAUGUCCCCUCGCGGACUCUCACGACUCUGAACCACCUUCGGCCGCCCCUAGCGGGCGUUCCGGAAAUGAAUCAAAACUUUCAACAACGGAUCUCUUGGCUCUGGCAUCGAUGAAGAACGCAGCGAAAUGCGAUAAGUAAUGUGAAUUGCAGAAUUCAGUGAACCAUCGAAUCUUUGAACGCACAUUGCGCCCGCCAGUAUUCUGGCGGGCAUGCCUGUCCGAGCGUCAUUUCAACCCUCGAACCCCCCCCCGGGGGGUCCGGCGUUGGGGAUCGGCCCUCUACCGGCCGGCCCCGAAAUGCAGUGGCGGUCUCGCCGCAGCCUCUCCUGCGCAGUAGUUUGCACACUCGCACCGGGAGCGCGGCGCGCCCACGUCCGUAAAACACCCAACUUCUGAAAGGUUGACCUCGGAUCAGGUAGGAAUACCCGCUGAACUUAA
rnacentral:misc_RNA from 1 species